CUUCUAUGCACAGAUGUGAACAGAUGUAGGUUUGGCAUCGGGCACAAGUUCACAGGUUUGGGGUUAUCAGAUUCGAGGCUAUAGGAUUCAGGUUCAAGGCACUUUUUGGGUAUUAAUGGGUUCGGAUCCGCUGAUUCAGGCACAUGGAUUCGGAUUAUCAGGUUGUUGGGGUACCAAGUUAUCAGGUUCGAGUUAUUAAAUAGUGGG
rnacentral:lncRNA from 1 species